rnacentral:rRNA from 1 species
UAGGUAGAUAAGAAGCACCGGCUAACUACGUGCCAGCAGCCGCGGUAAUACGUAGGGUGCAAGCGUUGUCCGGAAUUACUGGGCGUAAAGAGCUCGUAGGUGGUUUGUCGCGUCGUCUGUGAAAUCCCGGGGCUUAACUUCGGGCGUGCAGGCGAUACGGGCAUAACUUGAGUGCUGUAGGGGAGACUGGAAUUCCUGGUGUAGCGGUGAAAUGCGCAGAUAUCAGGAGGAACACCGAUGGCGAAGGCAGGUCUCUGGGCAGUAACUGACGCUGAGGAGCGAAAGCAUGGGUAGCGAACAGGAUUAGAUACCCUGGUAGUCCAUGCCGUAAACGGUGGGCGCUAGGUGUAGGGGGCUUCCACGUCUUCUGUGCCGUAGCUAACGCAUUAAGCGCCCCGCCUGGGGAGUACGGCCGCAAGGCUAAAACUCAAAGGAAUUGACGGGGGCCCGCACAAGCGGCGGAGCAUGUGGAUUAAUUCGAUGCAACGCGAAGAACCUUACCUGGGCUUGACAUGUACCGGAUCGGGCUAGAGAUAGUCUUUCCCUUGUGGUCGGUAUACAGGUGGUGCAUGGUUGUCGUCAGCUCGUGUCGUGAGAUGUUGGGUUAAGUCCCGCAACGAGCGCAACCCUUGUCUUAUGUUGCCAGCACGUUAUGGUGGGAACUCAUGAGAGACUGCCGGGGUUAACUCGGAGGAAGGUGGGGAUGACGUCAAAUCAUCAUGCCCCUUAUGUCCAGGGCUUCACACAUGCUACAAUGGUCGAUACAAUGGGCAGCGACAUCGUGAGGUGAAGCGAAUCCCUGAAAGUCGGCCUUAGUUCGGAUUGGGGUCUGCAACUCGACCCCAUGAAGUCGGAGUCGCUAGUAAUCGCAGAUCAGCAACGCUGCGGUGAAUACGUUCCCGGGCCUUGUACACACCGCCCGUCACGUCAUGAAAGUUGGUAACACCCGAAGCCAGUGGCCUAAACUUGUUAGGGAGCUGUCGAAGGUUGAAUUCGGAAA